rnacentral:rRNA from 1 species
AAGAUCCUCAGGCGCUCGAGAGAAUGGUAGUUAAGGAAUUAGGCAAAUUCACCCCGUAAGUUCGCGAUAAGGGGGCCCUCCCUCUUCGGAGAAGGGCGCAGAGAAAAGGUGCUGGCGACUGUUUAUCAAAAACACAGGACUGUGCUAACUCGCAAGAGGACGUAUACAGUCUGACGCCUGCUCGAUGCCGGAAUGUCAA